CGGCCCGGGACGCUGAGGGCCUGCGGCCGGUCCAGGGAAUGGCGCUGGAGCAGCAGAGGGAACUGGGGGUGUUUGGCCCGGAGAAAAAGGGUCUUGGGGGCACCUUAACACCCUUCAACUCCUGAAAGGAGGCGGUAGCCAGGGAGAAGGUCUCUGGAUCUUAUGACAAGAAAAGAGGCACUGCAGCUACUCCGAGCCCCGUGACAGGCACAGCACCAACCCAUGCUGAUAUCAGCUGCCCCUGGACACGAGAAGACAUGGAUGCAAAAGUCACCUUGUUUACUAAAGGAGAACAAGCUGAGGUCACCCCAAGAACAUGAGGAAGAGGCAGAACAAGUUCUUCCCACCAAGGGUGGGGGGAGAGUGAGCAAUCAGAUGCAUGAUACUUAGUUGCCAGCUGAGGUUAACCACAACUCCGUCACUUGAAAUUAGAGGAUAACAUUCGGUAAAACACUAGUAAGCCUCGCCAUGAAAUCUUUAUAUCAUCCUGAAUGUCUGUCAUUUCUUUGGUCUGUUUGAACAGCCUUGAAGUCAGCAACAGAAGUUGUACCACUGAUGGAACAACCACGUGAUACCUCACAACUCUGAAAAGAUGCGUAACAUCAAUUUGUGACACACCCAUGGCAGUCUUCAGAAUACAAGCUAAAUCCUCUUCUGUUACAGUUCCUCCUUCUGACUGGUACAGCUAUGGAUCAAGACAACAAGAUAAAUCAUUGCAAAGCUGAAUGCCAACUCCUAUAAACAGCACUACUUUGAAGUAAAGCAAAAUAAAAACUUGAUAUUAGAAAUUCUA